GUGCUCGAUUCAGCAGCACAUAUAUUAAAAUUGGAAUGAUACAGAGAAGAUUAGCAUGGCCCCUGUGAAAGGAUGACAUGAAAAUUCGUGGUGUUCCAUAAAAGUCA
rnacentral:snRNA from 1 species